AUUGAACGCUGGCGGCAGGCCUAACACAUGCAAGUCGAGCGGAUGAAGGGAGCUUGCUCCUGGAUUCAGCGGCGGACGGGUGAGUAAUGCCUAGGAAUCUGCCUGGUAGUGGGGGAUAACGUCCGGAAACGGGCGCUAAUACCGCAUACGUCCUGAGGGAGAAAGUGGGGGAUCUUCGGACCUCACGCUAUCAGAUGAGCCUAGGUCGGAUUAGCUAGUUGGUGGGGUAAAGGCCUACCAAGGCGACGAUCCGUAACUGGUCUGAGAGGAUGAUCAGUCACACUGGAACUGAGACACGGUCCAGACUCCUACGGGAGGCAGCAGUGGGGAAUAUUGGACAAUGGGCGAAAGCCUGAUCCAGCCAUGCCGCGUGUGUGAAGAAGGUAUUCGGAUUGUAAAGCACUUUAAGUUGGGAGGAAGGGCAGUAAGUUAAUACCUUGCUGUUUUGACGUUACCAACAGAAUAAGCACCGGCUAACUUCGUG
rnacentral:rRNA from 1 species